UCUCUCUCUCUCUAAGGUGUCCCUCUCUCUACGAGGCUCCCUUCUUGGCUUGUGCUCUUUUCUCGUCUGCUAGGUGAAGUGAAGGGCUAUUCUUUGUCGUUCAUCCCCUCCCCUCUUUGCGAAGCCCGAACACGGUCAUCUGCAUUGUCCUCUCCUCUCGUUGAGAAGCUUUGGUUCUGCCACAUACGCCACACACUCCUCCUCUGUUUAGGGCAUCAAUUGGGUGAGUGAUUGUCUUGAUUUUUUUUGUUCAAACCCAAGCCACAAUCUAACCCUAAUUCAUGAAUGUUUUUUUACAAUGGGU
rnacentral:lncRNA from 1 species